CAGGGAAUCUUCCACAAUGGGCGAAAGCCUGAUGGAGCAACGCCGCGUGUGUGAUGAAGGGUUUCGGCUCGUAAAACACUGUUGUAAGAGAAGAAUGACAUUGAGAGUAACUGUUCAAUGUGUGACGGUAUCUUACCAGAAAGGAACGGCUAAAUAUGUGCCAG
rnacentral:rRNA from 1 species